CUACGGGUUGCAGCAGUCAGGAAUAUUGCACAAUGGGGGGAACCCUGAUGCAGCAACGCCGCGUGGAGGAUGACGCAUUUCGGUGUGUAAACUCCUUUUAUAUGUCAAGAAAAUGACGGUAGCAUAUGAAUAAGCACCGGCUAACUCCGUGCCAGCAGCCGCGGUAAUACGGAGGGUGCAAGCGUUACUCGGAAUCACUGGGCGUAAAGGACGCGUAGGCGGGUCGGAAAGUCAGGUGUGAAAUCCUACAGCUUAACUGUAGAACUGCACUUGAAACUUCUAAUCUAGAGUAUGGGAGGGGGAGAUGGAAUUAGUGGUGUAGGGGUAAAAUCCGUAGAUAUCACUAGGAAUACCUAAAGCGAAGGCGAUCUCCUGGAACAUUACUGACGCUAAGGCGUGAAAGCGUGGGGAGCAAACAGGAUUAGAUACCCUCGUAGUC
rnacentral:rRNA from 1 species